GCCAAAAAUCUAGCCCAUUCCACUUUAUUAUACCUUUUAAUUUUACAGCCCUAAAACAAACCAUUUUAACUUCUUAGUACAGGCGAUCGAAAAAUCUCUACGGCGCUUCAGAUAAAGUACCGCAAGGGAAUGAUGAAAUAGCUAUGAAAUAGCCUCAAAGCUUAAUAUAGCAGAGAUUUAACCUCG
rnacentral:rRNA from 1 species